GACGAGCGCUGGCGGCGUGCUUAACACAUGCAAGUCGAACGGUGAAGCGCCUUCCUUUUUGGUGGGUGUGGAUGAGUGGCGAACGGGUGAGUAACACGUGAGUAACCUGCCCCCUUCUUCUGGAUAACCGCAUGAAAGUGUGGCUAAUACGGGAUAUUCUGGGUCUGUCGCAUGAUGGGUCUGGGAAAGAUAUUGUUUCGGUGGGGGAUGGGCUCGCGGCCUAUCAGCUUGUUGGUGGGGUGAUGGCCUACCAAGGCGGUGACGGGUAGCCGGCCUGAGAGGGUGGACGGUCACACUGGGACUGAGACACGGCCCAGACUCCUACGGGAGGCAGCAGUGGGGAAUAUUGCACAAUGGGCGCAAGCCUGAUGCAGCGACGCCGCGUGAGGGAUGGAGGCCUUCGGGUUGUGAACCUCUUUCGCCAGUGAAGCAGGCCUGCCUCGUUUGUGGGUGGGUUGACGGUAGCUGGAGAAGAAGCGCCGGCUAACUACGUG
rnacentral:rRNA from 1 species